rnacentral:rRNA from 1 species
GGGUGCGAUCAUACCAGCACUCAUGUACCAGGUCCCAUCAAAACUCAGAAAAGUUAAGUGUCCUUGGGCAAGAGUAGCAUUAAGACAGGCUUUGUUACAGAACCUC